AAUGAACGCUGGCGGCGUGCCUAACACAUGCAAGUCGUGCGCGAAAGGGGCUUCGGCCCCGAGUAGAGCGGCAGACGGGUGAGUAACACGUGGGUAACCUGCCCAGAAGUGGGGGAUAACCUGGGGAAACUCGGGCUAAUACCGCAUACGUUCGCGGGGUUCUGCUCCGCGAGGAAAGCCGGCCUAUGCUUGCAAGCUGGCGCUUUUGGAGGGGCCCGCGGCUGAUUAGCUUGUUGGUGGGGUAAUGGCCUACCAAGGCGACGAUCAGUAGCCGGCCUGAGAGGGUGAACGGCCACACUGGAACUGAGACACGGUCCAGACUCCUACGGGAGGCAGCAGUGGGGAAUAUUGGACAAUGGCGCAAGCCUGAUCCAGCAACGCCGCGUGGAGGAUGAAGGCCUUCGGUUGGUAACUACUCGUUAGGGGAACGGAAGGGUACGACGGGUUAACGAGACCGGUCGACGUCGUACGGUACGUCCACGAGGAAGACCCGGCCGUAACUCCUGUGCCACGCACGCCGCCGGUAAACGUAUAACUACG
rnacentral:rRNA from 1 species